rnacentral:rRNA from 1 species
GGGGCAGCACGGGAGUAGCAAUACAACUGAUGGCGACCGGCGCACGGGUGAGUAACGCGUAUGCAACCCAUCUAUCAGAGGGGAAUAGCCCGGCGAAAGUCGGACUAAUACCGCAUAAAACAGGGACACCGCAUGGUGAUAUUUGUUAAAGAAAUUCGCUGAUAGAUGGGCAUGCGUUCCAUUAGGUAGUUGGUGAGGUAACGGCUCACCAAGCCGACGAUGGAUAGGGGAACUGAGAGGUUGGUCCCCCACACUGGUACUGAGACACGGACCAGACUCCUACGGGAGGCAGCAGUGAGGAAUAUUGGUCAAUGGGCGAGAGCCUGAACCAGCCAAGUCGCGUGAAGGAAGAAGGAUCUAUGGUUCGUAAACUUCUUUUGCAGGGGAAUAAAGUGCAGGACGUGUCCUGUUUUGUAUGUACCCUGAGAAUAAGGAUCGGCUAACUCCGUGCCAGCAGCCGCGGUAAUACGGAGGAUCCGAGCGUUAUCCGGAUUUAUUGGGUUUAAAGGGUGCGUAGGUGGUUUGAUAAGUCAGCGGUGAAAGUUUGCAGCUUAACUGUAAAAAUGCCGUUGAAACUGUCGGACUUGAGUGUAAAUGAGGUAGGCGGAAUGCGUGGUGUAGCGGUGAAAUGCUUAGAUAUCACGAAGAACUCCGAUUG